GUUCAUGUUCUGUACGACACAGCAGCUGCAGCGGAAGGUCAUCAGACACUACUCUAAACAGGCGAUAAAGCAGAUGUAUGUCCUGGUGCUGGGCCUGGACGUUCUGGGGAAUCCGUUUGGUUUGAUCCGGGGUCUGUCCGAGGGCGUGGAGGCGUUCUUCUAUGAGCCGUGGCAGGGAGCGAUCCAGGGGCCGGAGGAGUUUGUGGAGGGCGUGGCUCUGGGGGUCAAGGCCCUGGUGGGAGGAGCUGUCGG